rnacentral:sRNA from 1 species
AGCCUGACUUUAUACCCACCCUUUGCCUAUGUGUACCCCUAUUGCUUCCCUCGGCGGGUUCGCCCGCCGACAGGAACCAACUAAACCCUUUGCAUUAUACAUUUAACACUUCCGAUACAAAACUAAAUUAUUACAACUUUUAACAAUGGAUCUCUUGGUUCUGGCAUCGAUGAAGAACGCAGCGAAAUGCGAUAAGUAGUGUGAAUUGCAGAAUUCAGUGAAUCAUCGAAUCUUUGAACGCACAUUGCGCCCCUCGGUAUUCCGUGGGGCAUGCCUGUUCGAGCGUCAUUUACACCCUCAAGCUAUGCUUGGUGUUGGGCGUCUGUCCCGCCUCCGUGCGCGGACUCGCCUCAAAGUCAUUGGCAGCGGUCUCGUCGGCUUCUCGCGCAGCACAUUUGCGCUUCUCGGAGCCCCGGCGGAUCAGCGUCCAGCAAGCAAUUUCAUGACUUGACCUCGGAUCA